rnacentral:rRNA from 1 species
GAUGAACGCUGGCUACAGGCUUAACACAUGCAAGUCGAGGGGAAACGACGGGGAAGCUUGCUUCCCCGGGCGUCGACCGGCGCACGGGUGAGUAACGCGUAUCCAACCUGCCUCUGACUGAGGGAUAACCCGUCGAAAGUCGGCCUAAUACCUCAUGGUAUCGUCUGCGGGCAUCCAACGACGAUUAAAGAUUUCAUCGGUCAGGGAUGGGGAUGCGUCUGAUUAGCUUGUUGGCGGGGUAACGGCCCACCAAGGCUACGAUCAGUAGGGGUUCUGAGAGGAAGGUCCCCCACAUUGGAACUGAGACACGGUCCAAACUCCUACGGGAGGCAACAGUGAGGAAUAUUGGUCAAUGGGCGAGAGCCUGAACCAGCCAAGUAGCGUGCAGGAAGACGGCCCUAUGGGUUGUAAACUGCUUUUAUGCGGGGAUAAAGUGAGGGACGUGUCCCUCAUUGCAGGUACCGCAUGAAUAAGGACCGGCUAAUUCCGUGCCAGCAGCCGCGGUAAUACGGAAGGUCCUGGCGUUAUCCGGAUUUAUUGGGUUUAAAGGGAGCGUAGGCCGUGGAUUAAGCGUGUUGUGAAAUGCAGGUGCUCAACGUCUGCACUGCAGCGCGAACUGGUCCACUUGAGUGUGCGCAACGCAGGCGGAAUUCGUCGUGUAGCGGUGAAAUGCUUAGAUAUGACGAAGAACUCCGAUUGCGAAGGCAGCUUGCGGGAGCACAACUGACGCUGAAGCUCGAAAGCGCGGGUAUCGAACAGG